rnacentral:misc_RNA from 1 species
GUGGGUGUGUGGAUGCCAAGAGCUGC